rnacentral:sRNA from 1 species
UGAAACAAGAUCGCCCUGUAUAGGAGGAC